CCUACGGGUGGCAGCAGUCGAGAAUCAUUCACAAUGGGGGAAACCCUGAUGGUGCGACGCCGCGUGGGGGAAUGAAGGUCUUCGGAUUGUAAACCCCUGUCAUGUGGGAGCAAAUUAAAAAGAUAGUACCCCAAGAGGAAGAGACUGCUAACUCUGUGCCAGCAGCCGCGGUAAUACAGAGGUCUCAAGCGUUGUUCGGAAUCACUGGGCGUAAAGCGUGCGUAGGCUGUUUCGUAAGUCGUGUGUGAAAGGCGCGGGCUCAACCCGCGGACGGCACAUGAUACUGCGAGACUAGAGUAAUGGAGGGGGAACCGGAAUUCCCGGUGUAGCAGUGAAAUGCGUAGAGAUCGGGAGGAACACUCGUGGCGAAGGCGGGUUCCUGGACAUUAACUGACGCUGAGGCACGAAGGCCAGGGGAGCGAAAGGGAUUAGAUACCCGAGUAGUC
rnacentral:rRNA from 1 species